AAACCAUUCAGGGGUAAACCUGAGAAACCUAAAAGUUCGAAAAGAGAGAUUCAACGUCAGUAUGUAUUGUAUUCACGUGAGUAGUGAUGUAAGUUUUUAGUAGAGGGGUCAAACCUUUUAUUAAUACUUGCACAUUUUCAUGUUAUUUUAUUGCAAUACUAUUGCCGGCGUGCACUUCUCUCUUAGUAGGACGUCCCGACCCGUUGAGUCUUGGCCUACGGCACAGAUGGGAGCCUUUGGUAUCUCGAUAUCAAAGACCUCUGAUGUAUUCCUGGCUAAAGUACUCGACGGUAGUUAUUUGAUAUGGUGUUGAGCCGCAUUUUCGAAUGCGUCCGGCCUGUCGCAAGUUUUUGAUAUAUUCCGUAUUACUAUAGACUAAGUGCUAUGUAUAUGGUUAUGUCGCUUUGCAUGACUGUGCUUUAGGACUGGCUUAUUUCAUCUGUCAGGGACGCUUAGGCUUUGGGUACUCUCAGGA
rnacentral:rRNA from 1 species